GUAAGGAACUGAAACACUUGAAACGGAUGGGUGAAGAGAGCUAGCUCUGUGUUCUGACAGAGAUAACAGUGUAAAAGUAAGGUGUAAAUAAAUAAAUAAAUAAAUAAAUAAAUAAAUAACACACCGACACCGCCUGUGUUUCAACUGGAAUGUUUGCUUCAACGUCUCCUCAGAAGGUCUUUGUCAUCCUCACAUGGUGUCUUCUGCUUCGACGGUGUAGCUGUCUCCAUGGCAACGAGCGCCGUGCCCGGGGACAACCUGCCCACUUAUAAGCUAGUAGUGGUGGGUGACGGUGGCGUGGGAAAGAGUGCCCUCACCAUCCAGUUCUUUCAGAAGAUCUUCGUGCCUGAUUACGACCCGACCAUCGAGGACUCCUACCUCAAACACACCGAGAUCGAUGGACAGUGGGCCAUACUGGAUGUACUGGACACGGCAGGUCAGGAGGAGUUCAGUGCUAUGAGAGAGCAGUACAUGAGGACCGGAGACGGCUUCCUCAUAGUGUUUUCAGUGACCGACAAGGCCAGCUUUGAGCACAUAGACCGUUUCCAUCAGCUCAUCCUGAGAGUGAAAGACAGGGAGUCGUUCCCGAUGGUCCUCAUCGCUAAUAAAGUCGACUUGGUGCAUUUGCGCAAAAUCACAAGCGACCAGGGGAAGGAGAUGGCGAUGAAACAUAGCAUCACCUAUAUUGAAACAAGUGCAAAGGAUCCACCCAUGAAUGUGGACAAAGCGUUCCACGAGCUCGUGAGAGUGAUUCGGUGAGUGAAGUCGAAACAAAGUCACGUGAACCGUGCAAAACGUCACAUUGGGUAUAUCGUAGUUCAUCUGUCAAGAAGAGAAUCGUACAGCAGAGGUUAUAUACGGAAGCUCGUUCGCACCACCAACGAGGAAACGUCACAGUGACUCACUCCAUCGCAGCAGGUUCCAGAGAGGGCCCAGAAGAAGAAGAAAACAAAAUGGCGGGCGGACAGGCCAUCCGGAUCAGCCAGGCUUCACUGUGUCCUACUGUGACUGUUUGCUUCUCUCUGGGCACGUCAACCACGCGAUGAUGGCUUGGACUGUUAACACACACACACACACACACACACACACACACACACACACACACUCACACACACACACCACAGAGCUCCUUAAAUGUAAUACUACUGCACACAGUGUUUUCACUUCAACCCAGGCAAUUCAGGAGACAAAUCUUGCCAUCCAGUGUUAAUAAGGUGUGUAAUUAAAAAAGAGCUGAAUAGAAAUCCAUUGCUCCGUUUUAUCUUCUAUAUCAGAUCUCAACUUCCUAGAAGAUGAAACGAGUCGAAUAACCGAGCACCAUUUCCCUCAGAAGACUCUAAAGAAGUCCCUAACGAGGCCUUGAUUUUGUACAUGUUUGUACCAUUUUCCUGUUUGUCCUGUUAUUGCAAAAAAAAAAAAAAUCCUUUCACAGCACAAGGAUCUGUUCGCUAUUUGGAUUUUUUUAAUGCUCCAUUAGGAUACGAAAGGCCUUCAAGCUAAAGAUCUGGUGGUAAAACAUUUCUGGAAUGAACCACCUGUUUUGUAAGUGCGGCUAAAGCCAUCGUUCAAAGCCAUCUUGCUAAUUUCACACCAAAACACACUAAUCCUGCUGCUAGUGUUUAUGGAUCUGGAAACGCAGUGAAUAAACCAAACCGUCAUGCUUAAGGAAGUACCGAGAGGAUACGAAGAGAAUCAGGUAACAAGCAAAUGUAUUGGGCAAGCAGUUGCAGUUCUAUGUGGCGCAUAUACAGUUCCCCGGUUUAAUCCUAAGCUCAGGUUACUCUUUGUUUGGAGAUUCACCCAAGGAUUUCCAUAGGUUCUCCACAGCUUCACCCCAAGUUCUCCCCAGGUUUUCCUCAGCUUCACCCUAGGUUCUCACAAGGUUCACUUGAGAUUAAUGCCCAGGUUCCCUCCAGGUUUUCUCCAGUGUCUCCCCAGCUUUACCUCAGGUUCUCACCAGGUUCACUCCAUGUUCUCCCCAUGUUCUUCCCAGGUUCUCUGGAUCCUCCAGGUUUCCUGCGGGUGUAAAAUAUGAAUGUGCAUUGUGUCAGGGUUUAUUCUCACCUCAUGCCCAGCAUUCCUUGCACAGGUUUUCAGAACCUCUGCACUAAAGACAAAAGAUGCGAUGAAACAAAAUGACUCUCAGCAACAUAAGCAAUGGAGAAAAGCUUGUGGUGCCAAUUGAUCAUCCAGUUGGGCACCUUUUUGGUCAUCAGUCAGUGGCUUCUGGGACAAAUCAAGCUUAAAGUCAUUAUGUUAACACAAAGAUGGAGUUUGUAUAAAUUUAUAAUAACAAAAGAAUUUCGAGCAUGUUUAGUCAUUUCUCCCAGAAGAAACCCAGAUGAAUGUUUGAUAAUCUACUGAAUGUCACUGAAGAAUCAAACCAGUCAUUGCACAAACUGUUCCAUGUAACAGUACAAUUUAACAUCUUUCCUUUAUUUUCCACUGAUCAGGAAUGCUUGAACUUUGCACUUAUGUUCAUCUCAAUCGCACUACUGCUUUAAAGAAAACGAAAGGCUUUUGGUUUGUAAAAUUGUAAAAGAAUUGUCUCUUGUUUUGGCAUUGGAAGAAGAAAAAAAAAAACAGCUUGAAUGUAAAGCUUAUCAAUUGUGCUGUUUGUGUUCAGCCAAAUAAGCAGCAGCCAUUUUCCUUGUGAAGUUAUAACGUUAGAACGUAAUGUUAGUGUUUGUACUGUUUAUCGUACAUUUUGCACCAAGGAGGUACUUUAUCUUCUGUGAUUUUUACCAAUUUUGGAAGUUUGUGAACUGUACAUUGAGACGCUGUAUUUUGCAAUUUGAGUAGAAACCUAGAGCAAGAAAAUGUGCUAGCAAUCAUUUAGCUACUGUUUUCUACUUAUUAUUAUUAUUAUUAUUAUUAUUAUUAUUAUUAUUAUUAUUAUUAUUAUUAUUAUUAUGUUAAAGUGUUUGUGUGAAAAAUGGACUAUAUAUAUGAAUAUAUAUAAAAGAAGGGAAUUUUUGCAAGAAGCAUUGUAAGAAUUUCUACUCUGAAGAAUAAAAUUUGGUCUUGUGGCAAUUCACAAUCUUUUA